UACCGGGACAAUCCCUAGAAACUAUACAGUCAAUGCGCAUGCGCGAGUUUUAUCGGCUGUUCGGGCAGGUUGGCCACUCCGACUCUCAGCUGUCAAAACCCGUGUCUGGCGGCGAUGUAGAGAUCGGAAGAGGAC
rnacentral:lncRNA from 1 species